AUUGAACGCUGGCGGCAUGCCUUACACAUGCAAGUCGAACGGUAACGGGCCUUCGGGUGCCGACGAGUGGCGAACGGGUGAGUAAUACAUCGGAGCGUGCCCGAUCGUGGGGGAUAACGAGGCGAAAGCUUUGCUAAUACCGCAUACGAUCUACGGAUGAAAGCAGGGGACCGCAAGGCCUUGCGCGGACGGAGCGGCCGAUGGCAGAUUAGGUAGUUGGUGGGAUAAAAGCUUACCAAGCCGGCGAUCUGUAGCUGGUCUGAGAGGAUGAUCAGCCACACUGGGACUGAGACACGGCCCAGACUCCUACGGGAGGCAGCAGUGGGGAAUUUUGGACAAUGGGCGCAAGCCUGAUCCAGCCAUGCCGCGUGCAGGAUGAAGGCCUUCGGGUUGUAAACUGCUUUUGUACGGAACGAAAAGCCUUCUUCUAAUACAGGAGGGUCAUGACGGUACCGUAAGAAUAAGCACCGGCUAACUACGUGCCAGCCGCCGCGGUAA
rnacentral:rRNA from 1 species